GCCCCAGUGGCCUAGUGGUAAGGCGUGUGACUUCUAUCCAUGAAUUCUUCUGAAUGGAAAUCUCAAGAUCGCGGGUUCGACCCCCGCCUGGGGUU
rnacentral:tRNA from 1 species